UCCCAACUCAUAUAAGGAGAGGAAAACCCUGAUUUUUGGAGAUCCACCAAGAGCCACGAAAUUUCCUCCUCCCAGGCAGCCGCCUUGGGAUGGAGAACCACCUCCAUACCAGCACCAUCUACAAGGAAGAAGGGGGCCAAGGGCUGACGCCCCCAAGGGCCGUGGCCGCCGCCGUGGCCGCCGUCUCCUCUCCGGGCUGCACCUCUCCAUCAACCUCUUGCUCACCAUGGCCAUGUGUGAGUAGUCUCCCUCGGGGCAGAGGGCUCUA
rnacentral:lncRNA from 1 species